UUUCAUGAGAGUUUGAUCCUGGCUCAGGACGAACGCUGGCGGCGUGCCUAAUACAUGCAAGUCGAGCGAACCGACGAAGUGCUUGCACUUCUGACGUUAGCGGCGGACGGGUGAGUAACACGUAAGGAACCUACCGAUAAGCGGGGGACAACAUCCGGAAACGGGUGCUAAUACCGCAUAGGAAAGG
rnacentral:rRNA from 1 species